GCAGAUAUUCAAAAUAAAAUGAUAUAUAACUACCCAGAAGGUACAAGUGCUAUCAGGACAAGUUCCUCAUAGCACAGUAAUGUCAUUUGGAACACAAGCUGUAUGUUGAUGUCUCAUCUUGAGGAACCAAAAGUAACAGAAGAUGAAGAACCACCCACAGAACAAGAUAAGAGGAAAAAGAUGCUGGCCCUGAAGGACCCUGUUCAUACAGUGUCACUGCAGCAGUUCAUCUACGAGAAGCUCAAGGCACAGCAGGAGAUGCUAGGAGAACAAGGUUUCCAGUCCCUCAUGGAAACAGUGGACACGGAGAUUGUCACCCAGCUACAGGAGUUUUUGCAAGGAUUCUAAGAGCACACGACAUGUGGCUGCCUCCCCUUUCAGAAACAAGCUGAGUAACCCAGCCUGCCGUUUGUAUGUGAGAGCCUGCUGAGAUGAAGAAAUCACUUCAUGAAAAUAAGCAAAGACCACACAUUUUUUACUACAAAAUGUAAAGGAUAAAUGUAAAUCCUGCAUAACUAAAAUCACAAACCUAUUCCUCAAAAGAAUUUAAUUUUAUAUUUAUGAGGGGGCCCUUCACUAAAAAGUACAUGUAAAAGUAC
rnacentral:sRNA from 1 species